rnacentral:rRNA from 1 species
CCUACGGGAGGCAGCAGUCGAGAAUCAUUCACAAUGGGGGAAACCCUGAUGGUGCGACGCCGCGUGGGGGAAUGAAGGUCUUCGGAUUGUAAACCCCUGUCAUGUGGGAGCAAAUUAAAAAGAUAGUACCACAAGAGGAAGAGACGGCUAACUCUGUGCCAGCAGCCGCGGUAAUACAGAGGUCUCAAGCGUUGUUCGGAAUCACUUGGCGUAAGGCGUGCGUAGGCUGUUUCGUAAGUCGUGUGUAAAAGGCGCGGGCUCAACCCGCGGACGGCACAUGAUACUGCGAGACUAGAGUAAUGGAGGGGGAACCGGAAUUCUCGGUGUAGCAGUGAAAUGCGUAGAUAUCGAGAGGAACACUCGUGGCGAAGGCGGGUUCCUGGACAUUAACUGACGCUGAGGCACGAAGGCCAGGGGAGCGAAAGGGAUUAGAUACACGGGUAGUC